CCUACGGGGGGCAGCAGUAGGGAAUAUUGCACAAUGGGCGAAAGCCUGAUGCAGCAACGCCGCGUGCGCGAUGAAGGCCUUCGGGUCGUAAAGCGCUUUUCGGGGAGAUGAGGAAGGACAGUAUCCCCGGAAUAAGGAUCGGCUAACUACGUGCCAGCAGCCGCGGUAAAACGUAGGAUCCGAGCGUUAUCCGAAUUUACUGGGCGUAAAGCGCGUGCAGGCGGUUCGGUAAGUUGGGUGUGAAAUCUCCCGGCUCAACUGGGAGAGGUCGCUCAAGACUGUCGGACUAGAGGAUGGUAGAGGGAGGUGGAAUUCCCGGUGUAGGGGUAAAAUGCGUAGAUAUCGGGAGGACCACCAGCGGCGAAGGCGGCCUCCUGGACCAUACCUGACGCUCAGACGCGAAAGCUAGGGGAGCGAACGGGAUUAGAAACCCCUGUAGU
rnacentral:rRNA from 1 species